AGCGCAUGAAGGCCAACUUGCUACACUAAGUGCACUUUGUUUCUCUUACAACGCCGAAUUUCGGUGGUUCUAUUUGGACAGAAUAUAUUAAACUACUUUUGGGAAGUUGGCGGAAUGCUUGAAGCCUGCUUCACCUCCGCCGCGGCUCGGCCCGGUAUUGCAUUAUCUCCGGGAUCGGCCCAGGCAUU